ensembl:lncRNA
GGCUCUUGAUGCUUGUGGGCUGAGUUAAGGCACUGCCUUCUCCAUUGUUGCUUUUUGGGUAAAUGCAUCCACCAAGAGUGCAGAACUGCUGAGGUGAGCAGAAUGACUGCCUUGGAGAAGCUGUAUGUUCUGACAUGCACUAGCUGCUCAGUGUUGGCUUGGUCCCACACGGUCUGCCUUCCUUCCACCAAACCUCGUGUUCUGCAAGUGCAUCUAACCCUCCCACUCGUAACUCCAGAACUCUGUCUGGGAGAAGCCUCAGGAGUUGCAGAAGACCUUUGCUUUGGGGCUUCCAGGCAUUUAUUCUGCUCAGGCAGCUUGUUCUUGCAACCAGACUUCCUUGAUGUCCUUCUCUCAGUGAGGGAAUCACAGAACUCCAUUUGUGAGAAGCUGACAAGCCCUGGCAUACUUGGAGAGACUGAACAAAGCCCCUGAAAGUGUUUGUAUGCAGUGAAAUCAAAAUAGAAGAUUUCCAGGAUUUAAUUUCCUAUUUGCCACAUUGAUAGUCAAUAGAAUCAAAAACAAAGAAGUCAUCUGCACAGCUGCAAUAUGACAUAAAGAAAGUUGAAUCGGCAUUAUGCCCUCCCAGCCUUCUUGGAAGACAGAUCUCCUGGAUGAAGUGACCUGAAAUUCAGAGUUAAAGAAGCUUUGUAUUCCAAAGUCCAAAUCAAAUCAAUUGUAUUAAAAACAAAACAAAAAACAAAACAAAACAAAACAAAACAAAAAAACCACACCAACCAACCAACCGAACAAGCAAAACCCAAAAAUAAACAGAGAACAACAAAAUCACCAUAAAUAAAUACAUUUUAAAAGCCCUCUGACUUCUGAGAGGUUUGUACAGGUUCACAUUAUAUGCCUGGAACUAGAUUUUGGUGUUUGUACCAAUCUGUUUACUUGAAAUUUAUUAUUCAGUUAUUAACUUUCUCUGUGGGCUUUGUAAAAUUUGAAGCUGUGUGUGGUCCCUGGUACAUAUGGGAGACAGAGCUGGAACACAAACUGUGUUUGUAGCUGCAUUUACUGUCUUCAGUGGACAUUUGCAUUACACUACCGCUAUCACAGGCCUUUUCCCAGUCCUGCUACACCUAGCUGUAUGUGUCAUGAAAAAAGACUGUGGCUAGUCAGUUGCAGAAGUAUUCACACAAACUGACAGAGCUCAACUUGUUGAUUUCUCUUUCUCCUUCCUAGCCUUCUGUAUCGAGUUAAUCUGUAGCAGAUUAACUCCUGGCUCAUAAAUGGAGACUGGAUUUGAAUCAGAUGUCACACGGUAUCCAUCAAAGAUUUAAGGUUAUCUUUCAUAAAUUUCUUGUAUUCUUGUAUUCUUGUAUUAAGAAAGAUUUUGCCUAGAUGGUGCUUGCUGCUGCUUUCCAAAGCUCCUAGAUGGUCAUUUUAUAAAUCGUGGAUUGUCAAUAACGCCUGAAACAUUUCCACUUGUCUGCAUGAUCUGCUUUUUUACAGACUGCUCAAG